rnacentral:rRNA from 1 species
AACGAACGCUGGCGGCAUGCCUAACACAUGCAAGUCGAACGAGACCUGCGGGCCUAGUGGCGCACGGGUGCGUAACGCGUUGGAACCUGCCCUUAGGUCUGCAAUAACUCCCCGAAAGGGGUGCUAAUACCGGAUAAUGUCUUCGGACCAAAGAUUGAGCGCCUUUGGAUGGGCCCGCGUUGGAUUAGCUAGUUGGUAGGGUAAAAGCCUACCAAGGCUACGAUCCAUAGCUGGUUUGAGAGGAUGAUCAGCCACACUGGGAGUGAGACACGGCCCAGACUACUACGGGAGGCAGCAGUGGGGAAUAUUGGAAAAUGGGCGGAAGCCUGAUGCAGCAAUGCCGCGUAAGUGAUGAAGGCCUUAGGGUUGUACAGCUCUUUUACCCGGGAUGAUAAUGACAGUACCGGGAGAAUAAGCACCGGCUAACUCCGUG